GAAAUAUAUAUAAGUAAGCUUCUAACUUACAUAAAAGCAUUAAUAUGUUUAUAUUUCU
rnacentral:tRNA from 1 species